GACGAACGCUGGCGGCGUGCCUAAUACAUGCAAGUAGAACGCAGUUGCGAACGGGUGAGUAACGCGUAUGUAACUGCCUCAUAGCGUGGGAUAACUAUUGGAAACGUUAGCUAAUACCGCAUACUUUGGUAUGGACCUGCGUUGUAUUAGCUAGUUGGUGAGGUAAAGGCUCACCAAGGCGGCGAUACAUAGCCGACCUGAGAGGGUGAUCGGGCACAAUGGGACCGGGAAAAGGCUCAGAAUCCUACGGGGGGCAGAAGUAGGGGAUCAUCGGCAAUGGGGGGAAGUCUGACCGAGCAAAGCCGCGUGAGUGAAGAAGGUUUUCGGGUCGUAAAGGUCUGUUGUUAGAGAAGCGUUAUCUACCGAGAAAGCAACGGCUAACUACGUGCCAGCAGCCGCGGUAAUUC
rnacentral:rRNA from 1 species